rnacentral:lncRNA from 12 species
UCAAUACAAACUGUACUUCUCUUCUUAGAAGGCAAAAAUACCCACCACUGGUUUCAAUUUAAAACCUUUUUUAAAAAUAAGAUUUUAUUUAUUCAUGAGAGACAGAGAGAGACAGAGACAGAGACACAGGCAGAGGGAGAAGGAGGCCCAAUGUGGGACUCGAUCCGGCAACCCCGGGACCACGACCUGAGCCAAAGGCAGACACUCAACCUCUGAGCCACCCAGGCGUCCCUUAAAACACCUUUAAAAAAAAAAAAAAACAACUGAUGGUUUAUUGCUUCUAGGUCGGUAUGAAAUCAGGAAGGCGUUCUCAGAUAUGGGGAAGCGUGGCACGUGAGGAUAGUCGAUAGUCUCCCCUCUGCUGAAUCAAAUAACCAAUCUUGAGGGUAAUAAAAGAAAAUAAAAUCGGCUCCCUGGCUAUUCUCUAGCGGCACGUGCCUACCACAGAUGCAAAUUCAGGGAGGAUAAGAACGGUGGGCACACCGGGUGCCAUUCACGACCACCCCCCCGCCCCCCGCAACCUUCCUGUUUAACAAAGAAAACUCUUCCCAUUCUAGUGAUUUCCAGCAAAUGGAAGCCAGCAAAAAAGGCACUCAGCGAAGGUUGUGUGUGUGUGUGAGUGUGUGUGUGAGUGUGUGUGAGUGUGUGUGAGUGUGUGUGAGUGUGCAAUCACGACGGCUGCAAAGCUCAAUAGGAGACCUAAGGAUGCCAGACCUGGCCGGGAGGUGCAUCGCUCGGGAAAGGCACCAAGAGAUUGAGCAUCAGGUGGCAAAUCCCGUCGAUCAAACUCCAGCGCCUCGCUCAGCUCGGGAACCCGAGGAAACCCCUCUGCAACCAUCUCGACCAGAUCUGCAACCAGAUCGAGGUCAAUUCUCCUCCGGCGGCGGGAGAGUGGAGAACGUAAACUUCUUGAAGACAGGAGAUAUGACCUUGCAUCUAAUAGAAUCUGACAAAAUAAUGUUUCACGAAGGAAAGGAUAGAAGGUACAAAGGUAUCGGAAGGGCACCUAUUUCAUUGGUGAACUUGAACCUGAAAAAAUUCCAGAAGACCUAAGAGAAGCCCAUUGCUCAUUGCUGACACUUUCUCCGGGAGACAUCUGGAAACAAUAUGAAGUAUAAUCAGCCUGUAAUCAGGGCCAACAGCACAGAAAGGUUAGAGGUGGGUUGUCAGGAAAAAAAUCCAAAACCCAUUUACACCUUGGGGACAGGACUCCAGAAACUCAGAUGGAAAAAAGAUGAGAUUCCAGCCUGAAAAUAGAAUAUAUGUCAAGGAUUUGUUCAUAAGAGCAUGAUUCCUUGCUCUAGCUCCUAGAUCAAGACCCCCAGUGAAAGAACAGAGCUGACCAAGUGCUGGGCUUGGUCCGCGCAUCUGAGAUUGGACAGGGUUGGGGGGUGGUUAUCCCCAGCUUUGCAAAUGAGAACCCAAGUGGGAAGAUGCCAGCUGAGAUCCGAGUCUCCCCUGUGUGUCUUCUACUGUUGCUCCUCAGCCUUUCCUCCUUACUGCGCCUCAGAUUCGGCCACGGCAGGAGAAGCAUGGCCACACUUUCUGCCAGUGCAACAGUUGUUCUCACGGAGCAAGGCCUGUGAACCUGAGCUUAUGUGUCUCUGCUUUCACUGCAUCUGUAUCUUUGGGGUAAAUCACCAGUAGUGUAAUUGCUGGGUCGUAGGGCAGUUCUAUUUUUAACUCUUUGAGGAACCUUCACACAGCUUUCCAGAGCGGCUGUCCCAGUUCACAUUCCCACCAACAGGGCAAGAGGGGUCCCCUUUCUCCACAUCCUCUCCAACAUUUGUGGUUUCCUGUUUUGUUAAUUUUCCCCAUUCCCACUGGUGUGAGGUGGUAUCUCAUUGUGGUUUGGAUUUGUAUUUCCCUGAUGGCAAGUGAUGCGGAGCAUUUUCUCAUGUGCUUGUUGGCCAUGUGUAGGUCUUCUUUGGAGAAAUUUCUGUUCAUGUCUUCUGCCCAUUUCAUGAUUGGAUUGUUUGUUUCUUGGGCGUUGAGUUUAAUAAGUUCUUUAUAGAUCUUGGAUACUAGUCCUUUAUCUGAUUCAUCACUUGCAAAUAUCUUCUCCCAUUCUGUAGGUUGUCUUUUAGUUUUGUUGACUUUUCUUUUGCUGUGCAGAAGCUUUUUAUCUUGAUGAAGUCCCAAUAGUUCAUUUUUGCUUUUGUUUCCCUUGCCUUCAGAGAUGUAUCUUGCAAGAAGUUACUGUGGCCAAGUUCAAAAAGGGUGUUGCCUGUGUUCUCUAGGAUUUUGAUGGAUUCUUGUCUCACAUUUAGAUCUUUCAUCCAGAUGCAGUGAAAACCGGAGACACCUGCACCCCAAUGUUUAUAGCAGCAAUGUCCACAAUAGCCAAACUGUGGAAGGAGACUUGGUGUCCAUCGAAAGAUGAAUGGAUGAAGAAGAUGUGGUCUAUGUAUAAAGUGGAAUAUUCCUCAGCCACUAGAAACAAUGAAUAUCCAUCAUCUGCUUCAAUGUGGAUGGAACUGGGGGGUAUUAUGCUGAGGGAAGGAAGUCAAUCAGAGAAGGACCAACAUUACAUGGUCUCAUUCAUUUGGGGAAUAUAAAAUAUAGUGAAAGAGAUUAAAAGGGAAAGGAGAUAACAUGAGUGGGAAAUAUCAGUGAGGGUGAGAGAACAUGAGAGGCUCCUAACUCUGGAAAAUGAACAAGGAGUAGUGGAGAACGAGGUGGGCGGGGGCAUAGGGUGACUGGGUGACGGGCACUGAGGGGGCACUUGACGGGAUGAGCACUGGGUGUUAUGCUAUAUGUUGGCAAAUCGAACUCCAAUAAAAAAAUACACAAAAAAAACA